rnacentral:rRNA from 1 species
GAUGAACGCUGGCGGCGUGCCUAAUACAUGCAAGUCGAGCGAACGGACGAGAAGCUUGCUUCUCUGAUGUUAGCGGCGGACGGGUGAGUAACACGUGGAUAACCUACCUAUAAGACUGGGAUAACUUCGGGAAACCGGAGCUAAUACCGGAUAAUAUUUUGAACCGCAUGAUUCAAAAGUGAAAGACGGUCUUGCUGUCACUUAUAGAUGGAUCCGCGCUGCAUUAGCUAGUUGGUAAGGUAACGGCUUACCAAGGCAACGAUGCAUAGCCGACCUGAGAGGGUGAUCGGCCACACUGGAACUGAGACACGGUCCAGACUCCUACGGGAGGCAGCAGUAGGGAAUCUUCCGCAAUGGGCGAAAGCCUGAUGGAGCAACGCCGCGUGAGUGAUGAAGGUCUUCGGAUCGUAAAACUCUGUUAUUAGGGAAGAACAUAUGUGUAAGUAACUGUGCACAUCUUGACGGUACCUAAUCAGAAAGCCACGGCUAACUACGUG